AUCCAGCCGCCUCCACAGGAGCCCCACAGCAGGCAGCUGCCCUGCAGGACACAGCCAGUGCAGACAGCUCUGGGCAGCCGGUGCCCUGGCUCAGCACCACGAAAGGAGCCUCAGCUCAGGCGUCGGAGGCUGAGAAGGAGGAUCCCUCCGGAGACACCAGCGCCCUGGCCUCUACAGCCUUAUUGCCAGGAGAGCAGGAGGUGCAGGGCCCUGUCCCACUUGCUCAG